rnacentral:rRNA from 1 species
UACAGAGGUCUCAAGCGCUGUUCGGAUUCAUUGGGCGUAAAGGGGGCGUAGGCGGCGCGGUAAGUCGGGUGUGAAAUCUUGGAGCUUAACUCCGAAACUGCAUUCGAUACUGCCGUGCUUGAGGACUGGAGAGGAGACUGGAAUUUACGGUGUAGCGGUGAAAUGCGUAGAUAUCGUAAGGAAGACCAGUGGCGAAGGCGGGUCUCUGGACAGUUCCUGACGCUGAGGCACGAAGGCCAGGGGAGCAAACGGG